rnacentral:rRNA from 1 species
AGCAGCCGCGGUAAUUCCAGCUCCAAUAGCGUAUAUUAAAGUUGUUGCAGUUAAAAAGCUCGUAGUUGAAUUUCGGGGUCUGUCCGUCGGUCGGGCUUCACGGUCCGUACUGGUGUGAUGGGUUCCUACCUUCUGAAUAACCGGCAUGCCAUUUAGUUGGUGCGCCGGGGAAGCAGAGCUAUUACCUUGAAAAAUUAGAGUGCUUAAAGCAGGCUAGUGCUUGAAUAGAUUAGCAUGGAAUAAUAAAAUAGGACGGCAUGGUUCUAUUUUGUUGGUUUCUAGGAUCACCGUAAUGAUUAAUAGGGAUAGUUGGGGGCAUUAGUAUUCAAUUGUCAGAGGUGAAAUUCUUGGAUUUAUUGAAGACUAACUUCUGCGAAAGCAUUUGCCAAGGAUGUUUUCAUUAAUCAAGAACGAAAGUUAGGGGAUCGAAGACGAUCAGAUACCGUCGUAGUCUUAACCAUAAACUAUGCCGACUAGGGAUCGGACGAUGUUAAUUUUUAAUGACUCGUUCGGCACCUUA